rnacentral:rRNA from 1 species
UACAGAGGGUGCGAGCGUUGUUCGGAAUUAUUGGGCGUAAAGGGCGCGUAGGCGGUUCUUCAAGUCUCUCGUGAAAUCCCUCGGCUUAACUGAGGACGUGCGGGAGAUACUGAAGGGCUUGAGUCCGGAAGAGGGUGGUGGAAUUCCCAGUGUAGCGGUGAAAUGCGUAGAUAUUGGGAGGAACACCGGUGGCGAAGGCGGCCACCUGGGCCGGAGCUGACGCUGAGGCGCGAAAGCGUGGGGAGCAAACGGG